rnacentral:rRNA from 1 species
UGGGGAAUAUUGCACAAUGGGGGAAAGCCUGAUGCAGCGACGCCGCGUGAGGGAUGACGGCCUUCGGGUUGUAAACCUCUUUCAGCAGGGACGAAGCGCACGUGUACGGUACCUGCAAAACAAGGACCGGUUAACUACG